ensembl:lncRNA
UUGGUAUCGGAGGAAUCGAUAUUUCAGAAUCGAUCCGCACAUCACUACUUCUUUCCCCCCGCCCCGCUCCUUCUUCCUCUUCCUCUGAGUUUUUAUAGCAGUUGUACCAACUUACAGUUGUAUUGGGGAGGGGCCAAGAUGGUGACCGAGGUAGACGCUCUUCUCCGUGGCUAAGCAGGAUUUUGCAGUUUUACUUCCCUUUCAGCCGUCGUUUUUUUCUCUGAAUCACAAGUGAGUUAUCCUACUGAUCUUAUUCAGUACACGUAUGCGGCACUUCUAAGUAAUGGCUUCCUGAACCAUACUUCAAAGAGUUUUUUCGCGACCCUAGCCUCUUUGCAACGCGAUAGCUCAGCUAACAGCAGGAAAGCUCUGUUACCUCAGCGAUGUUUCCAACAAUUCAGGGUAGCAAAGGAAGGAAAAAUAAACACCCAUGAAAUUUAAAAGUCUAACCAGAGGAGCAACCAAGGAAAUGGAGAGAAACACGGGUGUAGCUGGCUCCAAAACCAGCCCCAAGAAUGCCGUGACUGCCGAACAUGACUACAACCGCAGCAAAAGUCCUGAACUGAUGCCACUGACUGACAGGAGUUAUUACUCUGAAGAACAAAUUUAAUGGGAACGUUAUGCACUCUGAAAUGGACUCAGAAGGACAGUAUGAUAGUCAACAUUGAUGCUUCUCACACAUUUGAUUUCCAUGUGUGACAACUGCAGACAGACUGAGGGACACACUGCUGCACAUCAUCUGUGAGGCUUUGCACCCCUGAUGAUCCACCAGGACAAACUCAGCAGUGUGUGAGGAAGAGGAGGAGGAAGAGUCAGCAGCUGCUGACAGAUGGAGAGAAUAGACAGACUGUUCCCUGUUUGUGAAGGACUGCUAGAAAAGUUUAAAAUAACUAAUUGCCUGUCCUGAAUCAGUCUCAUUAGGUAAUGUUCAAAAUAUUUUAUUAUUCCAGUGUUUUCAGUGUGGGAGAAAGUACUCAGGGCCUUCAAGUUACACACUAUGAAAGGCAGCAACAAGUUUAAUAUUCAGAAACCUAAAGUAUGUAUCAGCAGCAGAAUGGACCUAAAAAUAAAUGUUUGUUUCAGUUCUAUGAAGCUUUGAGUAUUUUGGAUUAGUAGCACUGCUGUGUUUGUUGCAUCAUAUUGCUGUAAUUGUUUAUAUGCUUUAUAUAUUCUGAGGUAAGUUGGUCUAUAGUGUUACAUCAUAUUCUAUAAGGAUGUUAUGUGUUUGUAUACUUUCUGCCCAGAUGACUUAAAGCAGUUAUGACAUGGUCUGAUUUUCUCACCCAAUAAAGGAAUAUUUAAUAUAUCAGACUACUCUUCAUUCUAUCAGAAACAGUUUUCACAGCUCGUACAUUUUCCUUUUUACACAUGUAUGUAAGCAUUGAGCCAAAUGUAAUAAUGCCAACAUAUUAAAUGAACAAUAUUUGUCUCUCAUAUAUAAUACAUCUAUAUAUACACUGUCAAAGA